AGCCUGGGACAUGGAGAUGUGGUGCAGGCUGAGCCCUGCCCGGGCUGCUCACCCCUUCUGCCCAGGAGGACCAGGGUUCUAGAACCCUCCCAGGGUGCUGUGUGCCUGAAGGUUGGGGCGACGAGCCUGCGGUCCUGCUGCUCUGCUGUGUGUGGCUCUGCCCCCUUUAAAUGAAUGUGAAAGCUCGGGGGGAGGGCACCUGCUGGGACCCGAGGGGGCAGCAAGGAAGUACCUUUGGGGGCCAUUCUCUGUGCCCAGACGGCAGGCUCACUGGGCUGGGCUAAUGAGCCUGGAGGUCCUCAAGGUCAAAUGAAACAAAUGGGCAUCUGCUUGGAGGUGAGUCAUGCCCCUUGUUCUACCCCAGCAGGCUUCUGUGCCAGGGAGACCAGGAGUCCCCAAGGGGGGUAUUUGAAGGGCAUUUGGGUAGCUUGUUGGUCACAUAUUUGUCCUGUAUCUUUGGGCUUGUCCUGGUAUCCACAGUCUCACCCUGAACUGAAGCUGGAUCAGCCUCUAGACCUCGGCUGCCUCCCACUUCUUGCCUGGGGAUUCUGCUUCUGAAGUUCCUUGGUAUCUAUGACCUUGUCCCUUGGAGGACUGCAUGGUUUUCUCAGCUUUUUUCCUUGGAUGCUGCUCAGUUUAGGAAGGCUGUUUGGUGUAGUGGUUAAAUCUACUGAAGCGCUGGGUUUGAAUCCCGGCCAUGCCACUUACUGGCUGGACAACUCACUUAAUCUCUCUGUGUCUGUUUCUUGUAAAAUGGAUACAGUAACAAUACUGACCUUAGAGGGUUGUUCCCAAGAUGACAAAAUGCAUGUAAGAUGUUCAGGUGGUACUUGGCAUAAAGUAAGCUAUUAUUUUUUCGGUUUCAUUCAGCUUCCUGAUAUCGGGUUGGUCACUAUACCCCUGGGGAGACCUGUCUCCCUUAAAAGUAACUUGGAGUUUGGGCAUUCUGGAAAACGGGAGCUGUCGUUGUUGGUGGGAGUACUGCAGGCUGGCCCUGCGGAGCAGACCUGAGACACAGUGUCCUUCCAAAUUUGGUGGCCUUUCCUUGGUGGGGAGGAGAAAAGCAGCUGGCCUCCAGACUCGGCACCUUGCUGUGCCACCACCGCUGUGUGCCCUCAGCUGGCAACUGAGGAUGCAGAGAGCUUAACUACCUGAUGCAAGGGCGCGCGUCUCAUCGGUGGCAGAGCUGGCACUGGACACGUGGGCCGCUGCUCUGAAGCACAUGGCUUGGCAAGUUGCCAUUGACAGUCCUCCUUGUUGUCACACCACGAGAGGCUGGUCUCCCACCCCCAAAUCCUCAGAAUUACCCAGGCACUCAAACUAUCUCCAUGCCUGGGCCCACCCCAGACCCACUAAAGCAGCCUUUCUGGGACGUGGGCACCAGUAUGUUGCAGGCUUUGCAGGUGAUUGCUGUGCCUUGCCACGUUUGAGAAGCCUUGCUCUUCUAGUCCACCCCUCACAGAUCACUUUCCUCCCCGUGUGGUCUUCACUGCCCUGUCCAGUCCUCUCUCUCCUGGUAGAUCAGAGGAGCCUUCCUCUCCAGGGGCUUUCACCUCUGUCCCAUACCCCUGACUGCUUCCCCGGGCUAGGACGCCCUGCCCACCAGGGGUCCCACACCCUCAUCCCCGGGUUGCACCCCUCUUCCUUGCCUUGAUACCCGUUCCUCUCUCUGGGUCAGAUCCCUUCCACCCCCAUUACACCUCCCACCACCACCGUCUUUCCAGGUGUUGUUAUGGGUUCCUACUUGGAAGAAUAAAGGCCAGAUGCCCAUUAUGCAGAA